GUACUCACUUCAGCAGCACAUAUACUAAAAUUGGACCAAUACAUAGAAGAUUAGCAUGGCCCCUGCGCAAGAAUGACAUGCAAAUUCAUGGAAGUGUUCCAUAUUUUA
ensembl:snRNA U6 U6 spliceosomal RNA